rnacentral:rRNA from 1 species
UACAGAGGGUGCAAGCGUUGUUCGGAAUUACUGGGCGUAAAGCGCGUGUAGGCGGCCUAGCAAGUUGGGUGUGAAAUCCCUCGGCUCAACCGAGGAGCUGCAUUCAAAACUACUAGGCUAGAGUAUCGGAGGGGGUGGCGGAAUUCCCGGUGUAGAGGUGAAAUUCGUAGAUAUCGGGAGGAACACCUGUGGCGAAGGCGGCCACCUGGAAGAUUACUGACGCUGAGACGCGAAAGCGUGGGGAGCAAACAGG